CCACACGCACUUGGGCUGGGAUACAGGGACAGCAGUGUGCCCUCUUACCCACACACGCAUCUCAAAAGGGACAUCACCAUCACCGAGUUUGUAAAAACAGCCAAUGUGGUUGUACCACAGCACACCUGCAAGCUAGUUUAUUGUCUAUCUCUGCCUGCCUAAGAUCAGAGCCAUGGCCAUCAGGAGACACCAAAACAGCAAGAAGCAGGUCCUUCCCUACAUGAUAAUUUAUUUUUAUGACACAGAAGCAUACUUGAACACAGACAGACAAAGAGAGAAGAAGUUGUUGUGAACUGAUACAUUGGAACUGUGCAGCACCUCUAUACAACAGUACUGCAAGUGAAAAUACAACAGCUAGGAGGAUACAGGAUCAAUUUGGGAAGCAGGA